UACAGAGACUGCAAGCGUUAUUCGGAUUCACUGGGCGUAAAGGGUGCGCAGGCGGCCGGGUGUGUCAGAUGUGAAAUCCCGGGGCUUAACCUCGGAACUGCUUCCAAAACUGCUAGUCUAGAGUAUAGUAGGGGGUGAUGGAAUUUCUAGUGUAGAGGUGAAAUUCUUAGAUAUUAGAAGGAACACCGAUGGCGAAGGCAUUCACCUGGGCUAUAACUGACGCUGAUGCGCGAAAGCGUGGGGAGCAAACAGG
rnacentral:rRNA from 1 species